rnacentral:piRNA from 1 species
UUCAGAUCUCAAAUGAGCCUCCUUUAAAAG